CGCCGCGCGACCCCGCGGGCUAGCUGCGCGCGCACGCCACGUCGACCCCGUGCACGCGCCUGCGCCAUCCCGCGCUCGCGACCCAACCGCCGCCGGUGCCCACGACUCCCCGCCCGCGCCAACCGCCGCCAACUCGCCACGCGCCCCUGCCCCUAUAAAAUCCGCCCGCGCCCCCUCUCCCGAACGCCCCGCACGCCCUCGCUCUCCCCUGCCCGAGCGCCGCUCCCCGCGCCCAAAACCGUCGCCGCCGCCCAACUCCAGCGAGAAAUCGCCGGAGAACCGUCGCCUUAUCCGCGAAACCGCCGCCACCUGCUCGAUCCCCACGCCGCCGCAAAGCUCCGAUGCCCCCGCAGCGAGGCCAAAGACCGCCGGACAGACCUCGCCGCUGACGACCGAAGCAACCUCGCCGGAGCCACGUCGCGCCGCCACUUGAGACCACGCCGGAGCUCGCCGUUCGCACCGUUGUACUCCCCGCGACACCGGAAAUCUCCCCCAACCCUCCUUCUUCCUUCCCGAGUCCCGAUUCGUCGAUCCAUUCAUCUCCGGAAAGAUUUGGGUAUGAACAUGUUCAUCUCCCGUGCUUUUAGCUCUGUUCAAGCAUCGAUUGUUAGCAACCCUCUGAUCAUUAUGUGCUCUAGUUAUCACCAUGGUGUAGAGUGUAUGUUCCUCUACAAUUUCUCUGUAGACAGUAGCCGUAGAUGGUUCAUCUCGUGCAUUGCAUCGUCGUCGCAAAAUGGUAUUCUUAGCAGCUUUUCUGCCGUAUCUCUGCCGCGGCAGGAAAUUGUAGCACCAUCCUUAAUGAGUAGCCACAUUCAUCUGUUCAUAGCUACUGCCUCAUAUCUCCAUAGUUCAUGAAACCAGUGCCAUUUGGAAGAGUAGAUCAUAUUCGUGGAUUCGUAUGUUUAGUUCUCUGUCAUUGGAAUAGUUUAGCACCAGUAGAUUUUCAGUAGAAGUUAGUUUUCUUUGUCUGUCAGAAUCUGACUAGCCACCUUUGCAAGCCAGUAACUUUCGAUCUGUUUAUCCAACUGACCUGAAACCUAUUGCGUUAGUUAGUACAACCUUAGUACUGUACUGUGGCAUAUAUUUCAUGCCAUGUACUAUACUUUAGCACCUUUUACCUGUCAACCCUAGUUGCAACCUGUUAACAGUAGCAGAUUACUGAAUCUUCAGACUUAGCCACACUAGCCUUAACCUAGACUUUAGAACUUUGUUUGUUGAUACUAUAGUAUUGUUUGCAUGAAGUCGAAGUUCUGUUCUUGAAGUUUAUUUGGAGUUAUAUUUGAAUUUGGAUAUAUAUUUAGAAAUAUGCAUUUACUUUGUUUCGUUCUUCGCGUUAGAUUAUUCGGAUUGCGACUGCGACGAGUGCGAGGGAGUUGACGACCGCAACAACUUUUCUGAUCCAGACAAGUUACACUUAUUGAUCAUGUAGUACCUAUAUUUUGCUUACGCUAUGUUGUUUACAAUGUCAUAGGGAUGCAUGUUAGAUUUAUUUCCAUAUGAAAUAUUUAUCAAAUGCAUUUUCAACAUGUUUAGUUAUUCCUAAUAGAUUGCUUAUAGGAUCCAUUGACAUGCCACCAAAUACCAUAGGUUAUGUAUUUACAUUUUUCCAAAGCAUGCUAUACUAGUAUAACGGGACGGGACCCAAACUAUAUUGAAACGUAUUAAGUGCUCUUUAAGAGCGAGUAUGUUUUUGGAAAAAUGUUUUCGAAAUAAAACCAAAUUUUUUUAUCUGGAUGGAGUGGUAUGAUGGAGGCCAGUUGGCUAUCGGCAAGUGUUGUAGCCCCGUAACGGGUACACGCUCAGGAGAAGGUGGGGACCGCCGUCCAGAAAUCUAAGAGUUCAAACCUUCUCAUGUACCAAAAGGCUUCUUGUGCAACCACUUGCUAUUAUGAGCUCUGGCUUGGUCGACUAACUAGCGGGAAACCCUUACCUGGGUAUCGCCAUCCGGAGAGGAGCCAAUGUGCUCAUAUGGGGCGGGCGGUGCCAGAAUUAGGUAUUAGGGGGCUUCUAGUGAAAGACUUCGUCACAAUCUUUACCUGUUGCGCACGCUUGUCGUCAGGCAACACUUUGGACUGAUUGUGUCAAGUGGGUAAAAUGUACAAACCUCUCGAGAGUGUCAAUCUAAUCGAUUAGUCAUGCCCCUGGUUACGGGCGACUUUGAGUCAUUAAGUCAGGAAAAGUGGAGAUUUUCAAGUUUUGUUUUCAAAAACCCCAAAACUAUUUUGACUCGAUGGAAGGUUCCACAGAAUGAGUCAGGGAAAAAGGAAUGCUAUGUGAGUGUCAGUUGACCCAGAGUGCAUAGGUUGGUCGUUGAGUGAACAUACACAGAAUGACCAUACUAUUGUUCAAACUAUGUUUUAUCCAAACUCCAGGAUUAGAGAUUUCAAAAGAAAGUACUAUGAGUAAUUCAAAACCCCAAAAGCAGCAUUUUGCAAAAACAACCCUAGUAGCCAAACUAGGAAAUCGUUCAUCAUUUCCAUGCAUUCCUCCUAACCACACAGGUGUGACUUGCAAGUACAUUCAAUGUACUGACCUACACCUAUCAUGUGCAGAGAGUGACGCUUAAGAAGAAGACGCAGGGUCGCGAGUCUACACUCAACUUGCCUGUGGCGUUGAUGGGACUCCCUCUUUAUCAGUUUGCUUUAUUUUGAACUUCCGUUUGGGUUGUAUUAAGUACUCUGGAUUUGUAACUCGAACCGAUGUCAUAGACAUGUGUAUGGUACUUCAUCAAUGGAACUGUGUGUGCUCGCAUUUGAUCUAGGGACUAGCACAGAUUACACAGAGGUCCGGAUCCUUACGGGUAUGGGUCGCCACAACAGUGAAGGCUGUCAACCCCCGGUUUACACCCCC
rnacentral:lncRNA from 1 species